AGAGUUUGAUCCUGGCUCAGGACGAACGCUGGCGGCGUGCCUAAUACAUGCAAGUCGAGCGGACUUUUCGGGAGCUUGCUUCCGGAAAGUCAGCGGCGAACGGGUGAGUAACACGUGGGUAACCUGCCUGCAAGACCGGGAUAACUUCGGGAAACCGGAGCUAAUACCGGAUGAUCUCCUUUUCCGCAUGGAGAAGGACUGAAAGGACGGCGCAAGCUGUCGCUUGCAGAUGGGCCCGCGGCGCAUUAGCCAGUUGGUGAGGUAACGGCUCACCAAGGCGACGAUGCGUAGCCGACCUGAGAGGGUGAUCGGCCACACUGGGACUGAGACACGGCCCAGACUCCUACGGGAGGCAGCAGUAGGGAAUCUUCCGCAAUGGACGAAAGUCUGACGGAGCAACGCCGCGUGAGCGAUGAAGGCCUUCGGGUCGUAAAGCUCUGUUGUCAGGGAAGAACAAGUGCGGGAGUAACUGCCCGCACCUUGACGGUACCUGACCAGAAAGCCACGGCUAACUACGUGCCAGCAGCCGCGGUAAUACGUAGGUGGCAAGCGUUGUCCGGAAUUAUUGGGCGUAAAGCGCGCGCAGGCGGUCCCUUAAGUCUGAUGUGAAAGCCCCCGGCUUAACCGGGGAGGGUCAUUGGAAACUGGGGGACUUGAGUGCAGAAGAGAAGAGCGGAAUUCCAUGUGUAGCGGUGAAAUGCGCAGAGAUAUGGAGGAACACCAGUGGCGAAGGCGGCUCUUUGGUCUGUAACUGACGCUGAGGCGCGAAAGCGUGGGGAGCAAACAGGAUUAGAUACCCUGGUAGUCCACGCCGUAAACGAUGAGUGCUAAGUGUUAGAGGGGUUAACCCUUUAGUGCUGCAGCUAACGCGUUAAGCACUCCGCCUGGGGAGUACGGCCGCAAGGCUGAAACUCAAAGGAAUUGACGGGGGCCCGCACAAGUGGUGGAGCAUGUGGUUUAAUUCGAAGCAACGCGAAGAACCUUACCAGGUCUUGACAUCCUCUGCCAACCCUGGAGACAGGGCGUUCCCCUUCGGGGGACAGAGUGACAGGUGGUGCAUGGUUGUCGUCAGCUCGUGUCGUGAGAUGUUGGGUUAAGUCCCGCAACGAGCGCAACCCUCGGGAUUAGUUGCCAGCAUUCAGUUGGGCACUCUAAUCCGACUGCCGGUGACAAACCGGGGGAAGGUGGGGAUGACGUCAAAUCAUCAUGCCCCUUAUGACCUGGGCUACACACGUGCUACAAUGGGUGGUACAACGGGCUGCGAAACCGCGAGGUGGAGCGAAUCCCUUAAAGCCACUCUCAGUUCGGAUUGCAGGCUGCAACUCGCCUGCGUGAAGCCGGAAUCGCUAGUAAUCGCGGGUCAGAAUGCCGCGGUGAAUACGUUCCCGGGCCUUGUACACACCGCCCGUCACACCACGAGAGUUUGUAACACCCGAAGUCGGUGAGGUAACCGCGCAAGCGGAGCCAGCCGCCGAAGGUGGGACAGAUGAUUGGGGUGAAGUCGUAACAAGGUAACC
rnacentral:rRNA from 1 species